AGUACGGUCGCAAGAUUAAAACUCAAAUGAAUUGACGGGGGCCCGCACAAGCGGUGGAUUAUGUGGAUUAAUUCGAUGCAACGCGAAAAACCUUACCUGGCCUUGACAUGUACCGAAUUUAGCAGAGAUGCUUUAGUGCUCGAAAGAGAACGGUAACACAGGUGCUGCAUGGCUGUCGUCAGCUCGUGUCGUGAGAUGUUGGGUUAAGUCCCGCAACGAGCGCAACCCUUGCCAUUAAUUGCCAUCAUUUAGUUGGGCACUUUAAUGGGACUGCCGGUGACAAACCGGAGGAAGGUGGGGAUGACGUCAAGUCCUCAUGGCCCUUAUGGCCAGGGCUUCACACGUAAUACAAUGGUCGGUACAGAGGGAAGCCAACCCGCGAGGGGGAGCCAAUCUCAGAAAGCCGGUCGUAGUCCGGAUUGUUGUCUGCAACUCGACAGCAUGAAGUCGGAAUCGCUAGUAAUCGCGGAUCAGCAUGUCGCGGUGAAUACGUUCCCGGGCCUUGUACACACCGCCCGUCACACCAUGGGAGUGGGUUUUACCAGAAGUAGUUAGUCUAUCCGCAAGGGGGACGAUUACCACGGUAGGAUUCAUGACUGGGGUGAAGUCGUAACAAGGUAACC
rnacentral:rRNA from 1 species